GAUGAACGCUGGCGGCGUUCCUAAUAAAUUCAAGUCGAGCGAACGGACGAGAAGCUUGCUUCUCUGAUGUUAGCGGCGGACGGGUGAGUAACACGUUGAUAACCUACCUAUAAGACUUGGAUAACUUCGGGAAACCGGAGCUAAUACCGGAUAAUAUUUUGAACCGCAUGGUUCAAAAGUGAAAGACGGUCUUGCUGUCACUUAUAGAUGGAUCCGCGCUGCAUUAGCUAGUUGGUAAGGUAACGGCUUACCAAGGCAACGAUGCAUAGCCGACCUGAGAGGGUGAUCGGCCACACUGGAACUGAGACACGGUCCAGACUCCUACGGGAGGCAGCAGUAGGGAAUCUUCCGCAAUGGGCGAAAGCCUGACGGAGCAACGCCGCGUGAGUGAUGAAGGUCUUCGGAUCGUAAAACUCUGUUAUUAGGGAAGAACAUAUGUGUAAGUAACUGUGCACAUCUUGACGGUACCUAAUCAGAAAGCCACGGCUAACUACGUG
rnacentral:rRNA from 1 species